AGGUCAAUGAUGUAACGGUAGCAUAACGGUCUCCAAAAUCGUUUGUUCAGGUUCGAAUCCUGAUUGACUUGCCA
rnacentral:tRNA from 1 species